rnacentral:rRNA from 1 species
AUUGAACGCUGGCGGCAGGCCUAACACAUGCAAGUCGAGCGGAUGAAGGGAGCUUGCUCCUGGAUUCAGCGGCGGACGGGUGAGUAAUGCCUAGGAAUCUGCCUGGUAGUGGGGGAUAACGUCCGGAAACGGGCGCUAAUACCGCAUACGUCCUGAGGGAGAAAGUGGGGGAUCUUCGGACCUCACGCUAUCAGAUGAGCCUAGGUCGGAUUAGCUAGUUGGUGGGGUAAAGGCCUACCAAGGCGACGAUCCGUAACUGGUCUGAGAGGAUGAUCAGUCACACUGGAACUGAGACACGGUCCAGACUCCUACGGGAGGCAGCAGUGGGGAAUAUUGGACAAUGGGCGAAAGCCUGAUCCAGCCAUGGCGCGUGUGUGAAGAAGGUCUUCGGAUUGUAAAGCACUUUAAGUUGGGAGGAAGGGCAGUAAGUUAAUACCUUGCUGGAUUGACGUUACCAACAGAAUAAGCACCGGCUAACUUCGUG